rnacentral:rRNA from 1 species
UUAAGCGACUAAGCGUACACGGUGGAUGCCCUGGCAGUCAGAGGCGAUGAAGGACGUGCUAAUCUGCGAUAAGCGUCGGUGAGGUGAUAUGAACCGUUAUAACCGGCGAUUUCCGAAUGGGGAAACCCAGUGUGUUUCGACACACUAUCAUUAACUGAAUCCAUAGGUUAAUGAGGCGAACCGGGGGAACUGAAACAUCUAAGUACCCCGAGGAAAAGAAAUCAACCGAGAUUCCCCCAGUAGCGGCGAGCGAACGGGGAGGAGCCCAGAGCCUGAAUCAGUGUGUGUGUUAGUGGAAGCGUCUGGAAAGGCGCGCGAUACAGGGUGACAGCCCCGUACACAAAAAUGCACAUAUUGUGAGCUCGAUGAGUAGGGCGGGACACGUGGUAUCCUGUCUGAAUAUGGGGGGACCAUCCUCCAAGGCUAAAUACUCCUGACUGACCGAUAGUGAACCAGUACCGUGAGGGAAAGGCGAAAAGAACCCCGGCGAGGGGAGUGAAAAAGAACCUGAAACCGUGUACGUACAAGCAGUGGGAGCCUCUUAAUGGGGUGACUGCGUACCUUUUGUAUAAUGGGUCAGCGACUUAUAUUCUGUAGCAAGGUUAACCGAAUAGGGGAGCCGAAGGGAAACCGAGUCUUAACUGGGCGUUAAGUUGCAGGGUAUAGACCCGAAACCCGGUGAUCUAGCCAUGGGCAGGUUGAAGGUUGGGUAACACUAACUGGAGGACCGAACCGACUAAUGUUGAAAAAUUAGCGGAUGACUUGUGGCUGGGGGUGAAAGGCCAAUCAAACCGGGAGAUAGCUGGUUCUCCCCGAAAGCUAUUUAGGUAGCGCCUCGUGAAUUCAUCUCCGGGGGUAGAGCACUGUUUCGGCAAGGGGGUCAUCCCGACUUACCAACCCGAUGCAAACUGCGAAUACCGGAGAAUGUUAUCACGGGAGACACACGGCGGGUGCUAACGUCCGUCGUGAAGAGGGAAACAACCCAGACCGCCAGCUAAGGUCCCAAAGUCAUGGUUAAGUGGGAAACGAUGUGGGAAGGCCCAGACAGCCAGGAUGUUGGCUUAGAAGCAGCCAUCAUUUAAAGAAAGCGUAAUAGCUCACUGGUCGAGUCGGCCUGCGCGGAAGAUGUAACGGGGCUAAACCAUGCACCGAAGCUGCGGCAGCGACACUAUGUGUUGUUGGGUAGGGGAGCGUUCUGUAAGCCUGUGAAGGUGGCCUGUGAGGGUUGCUGGAGGUAUCAGAAGUGCGAAUGCUGACAUAAGUAACGAUAAAGCGGGUGAAAAGCCCGCUCGCCGGAAGACCAAGGGUUCCUGUCCAACGUUAAUCGGGGCAGGGUGAGUCGACCCCUAAGGCGAGGCCGAAAGGCGUAGUCGAUGGGAAACAGGUUAAUAUUCCUGUACUUGGUGUUACUGCGAAGGGGGGACGGAGAAGGCUAUGUUGGCCGGGCGACGGUUGUCCCGGUUUAAGCGUGUAGGCUGGUUUUCCAGGCAAAUCCGGAAAACCAAGGCUGAGGCGUGAUGACGAGGCACUACGGUGCUGAAGCGACAAAUGCCCUGCUUCCAGGAAAAGCCUCUAAGCAUCAGGUAACAUCAAAUCGUACCCCAAACCGACACAGGUGGUCAGGUAGAGAAUACCAAGGCGCUUGAGAGAACUCGGGUGAAGGAACUAGGCAAAAUGGUGCCGUAACUUCGGGAGAAGGCACGCUGAUAUGUAGGUGAAGCGACUUGCUCGUGGAGCUGAAAUCAGUCGAAGAUACCAGCUGGCUGCAACUGUUUAUUAAAAACACAGCACUGUGCAAACACGAAAGUGGACGUAUACGGUGUGACGCCUGCCCGGUGCCGGAAGGUUAAUUGAUGGGGUUAGCGGUAACGCGAAGCUCUUGAUCGAAGCCCCGGUAAACGGCGGCCGUAACUAUAACGGUCCUAAGGUAGCGAAAUUCCUUGUCGGGUAAGUUCCGACCUGCACGAAUGGCGUAAUGAUGGCCAGGCUGUCUCCACCCGAGACUCAGUGAAAUUGAACUCGCUGUGAAGAUGCAGUGUACCCGCGGCAAGACGGAAAGACCCCGUGAACCUUUACUAUAGCUUGACACUGAACAUUGAGCCUUGAUGUGUA